AUAAUCCAUAUAACCCAUAUGAUGCAGAAAGAUAAUAUUUCAGAUCCUUUCUCGAAACGAAAAAGAUUAUAUUUCAGACCACACUUGUGCUUCUUCUCUACAUAGGUCCCUUUUCAAAGGGUAGGGAGCCACAAAUCCAAGAAAACAUUUAUAUCAUGUACGCUUUUUAAGCUGCACCAGAAAGCUGAAACUGUAAACUAAAGUAUUGCAACCUUUUUUUUUUUGAUAAGGUAAUAAUUUUAUUAACAGUUGGGGGAGAAAGACCCUGUAUACAAG